GAAAGUAAAGAAGGGCGCAUGGCGGAUGCCUUGGCUCUCGGAGGCGAUGAAGGACGUGAUAAGCUGCGAUAAGCUUUGGGGAGGUGCAAAUGACCUUUGAUCCAGAGAUUUCCGAAUGGGACAACCCAAUAUCUUGAAGAGGUAUUAUCCAACGUUGUUGGAGGCUAACGCAGGGAACUGAAACAUCUUAGUACCUGCAGGAAAAGAAAAUAAACAAUGAUUCCCCCAGUAGUGGCGAGCGAACGGGGAACAGCCCAAACCAUCCAUGUUACGGCAUGGGUGGGGUUGUAGGACUACGCCGUUGCAUGAAGACAUCAGAGAAGAACUUUCUGGAAAGAAAGACCAUAGAGCAUGACAGUUGCGUAUUCGAAUGUUGUCGAAGCAUAGUAGUAUCCUGAGUAGCGCGGAGCACGAGGAAUUCUGCGUGAAUCUGCCGGGACCAUCCGGUAAGGCUAAAUACUCCCGAGAGACCGAUAGCGAACCAGUACCGUGAGGGAAAGGUGAAAAGCACUUCGAACAGAAGAGUGAAAUAGUUCCUGAAACCGUGCGCCUACAAGCGGUCGGAGCUCGUUAAUGAGUGACGGCGUGCCUUUUGCAUAAUGAACCUACGAGUUGCCUUUGCCGGCAAGGUUAAGUGUGACGACACACGUAUCCGAAGCGAAAGCGAGUCUGAACAGGGCGUAUAGUCGGCAGUGGCAGACGCGAAACCAAGUGAUCUACCCUUGGCCAGGUUGAAGGCUGGGUAACACCAGCUGGAGGACCGCACCAAUAAGCGUUGAAAAGCUUCUGGAUGAGCUGAGGGUAGGGGUGAAAGGCUAAUCAAACUUGGAGAUAGCUCGUACUCCCCGAAAUGCAUUUAGGUGCAGCCUUGCGGGUUACUGAUGUGAGGUAGAGCGACUGAUAAGAUGCGAGGGCUUCACCGCCUAUCAAGUCUUGACAAACUCCGAAUGCGCAUCAGUUCUACCGCAGGAGUGAGGGCAUGGGUGCUAAGGUCCGUGCCCGAGAGGAGAAGAAUCCGGACCACCUGCUAAGGUCCCGAAAUGACAGCUAAGUUAAACUAACGAAGUCUGACUGCUAAGACAGCUAGGAUGUUGGCUUGGAAGCAGCCAUUCAUUUAAAGAGUGCGUAACAGCUCACUAGUCGAGGAGUCGGGCGUGGAUAAUAAUCGGGUAUCAAGUUGUCUACCGAAGCAGUGGGAUCAUUUAUAUGAUCGGUAGGGGAGCAUUCCAGUCAGCGUCGAAGGCGUACCGUGAGGUAUUCUGGAGCGUCUGGAAAAGCAAAUGUAGGUAUAAGUAACGAUAAAGGGGGCGGGAAACCCCCUCGCCGAAAGACUAAGGUUUCCUGAUCAACGCUAAUCGGAUCAGGGUCAGUCGGGUCCUAAGGCUCAGCCGAACGGCGAUGCCGAUGGCAGAAACGGUUAAUAUUCCGUUACUACCUUCAGGAGUGACGUGGAGACGCAGUAGUGACAGUGCCGCCAUCUGACGGAAUAGAUGGUUGAAGGGUGUAGGAGUCGAUCAUGGCAGGCAAAUCCACCAUGAGAUCCGAACCUGACAGUAUGCCGCGUCCUUCGGGACAAGGCAAUAGUGCGCGUAAGCAUGCUGCCGAGAAAAUCCGCUAAACUUAAUCCUGCAGGUACCCGUACCGCAAACGGACACACGUAGUCGGGAUGAAUAUUCUAAGGCGCUUGAGUGAUUCACGGUUAAGGAACUAGGCAAACUGACCCUGUAACUUCGGGAUAAAGGGUCCCUACCCUUUUAUGGGAGGGCGCAGAGAAUCGGUCCAGGCAACUGUUUAACAAAAACACAGGGCUGUGCCAAAUCGAAAGAUCCAGUAUACAGCCUGACACCUGCCCGGUGCUGGAAGGUUAAGAGGAGAUGUCAUCGAUAAGAGAAGCGUUGAAUUGAAGCCCCAGUAAACGGCGGCCGUAACUAUAACGGUCCUAAGGUAGCGAAAUUCCUUGUC
rnacentral:rRNA from 1 species